rnacentral:lncRNA from 1 species
AUUCAGUCUCUUUGGAUCAUUCAUAUUUGUCUGAUAACCAGACAGUGGCAGAACUUUGUUUAGAUGAAGAAACAGCUGAUGUUAAUCAACAUAUUAAACUUGAAUGCAAAAAAGAAUGUGUAAUAUCAGAUCUAGAAGACCCUUACAAGGCAUUGAAAAAGACAGUUUGUACUAGUCCAACUUUUCCAUAUGUAUAUAAUUCUGCGUCCACUGACCACUUGCAAAUCAUAGAACAUUAUCCAUCAUCUAAAAGUGUGUAUGUUAAAUUAACUAUCCUAAUCAACAAAGAUUUUUCAGCAAAGUUAUAUGUUCACGGCAUCGACCUUAGUAGAGAACAUUAUAUCUGGUUAGGAUUGCCAAGUGUGUAUGACAACAUAACAAGUAUUGAGAGACUAUUAUCUAAAUUAAAGAGUUACACUGUUUGUGUAUACAUGUAUAUAUGUAAUAUAUGUUGUGUUUGAGAUAAAUAG